rnacentral:rRNA from 1 species
AUGUCCGGGAGGGGCAAGGGCGGCAAGGGGCUGGGGAAGGGCGGCGCCAAGCGCCACCGGAAGGUCCUCCGCGACAACAUCCAGGGGAUCACGAAGCCGGCGAUCCGGCGGCUGGCGCGGCGGGGCGGCGUGAAGCGCAUCUCGGGGCUCAUCUACGAGGAGACCCGCGGCGUGCUCAAGAUCUUCCUCGAGAACGUCAUCCGCGACGCCGUCACCUACACCGAGCACGCCCGCCGCAAGACCGUCACCGCCAUGGACGUCGUCUACGCGCUCAAGCGCCAGGGCCGAACCCUCUACGGCUUCGGCGGCUAG